rnacentral:lncRNA from 1 species
CUGGAAUCACAUCCAAGUGGGUGUAACCAUGAGGCCAGGCCACCCCUCUCAUCAGCUGUGCCCUGCUUCCUUCAGAUGAGUGAUUAACUGUAUUUAAAGCUUUGGCCUUGAACUUGCAGCGGGAGAUGGUGUCUCUCAGGUUUUUACCCUUCUUUUUAAUUAAGGAGCUGUAUUAAAUAUUCAGAAAUUCUACUCUGUGACUUUCCUGGGCAGCACAAGGGCAUCCUGGAGAGGCAGAUCUCUUUCUCGUUAACACCUCUCCAGGCCACCAUUCUCCUUCCCUGCUUCUCAGUUCUGCUCCUCCAGGAGCGUGCAGUGUUUCCUGAGAGGAGCUGGGAGUCAUCCCUGAGCUGCUGGAAAUGCAGCAUCGACUCUUAAUGGUGCCACAGGGAGAGGCUGGGCUGCACCAGAUGCUCUGCAGGAUGGGAUCCUUUGGGUCUGCCAUCACCUCCAGGCCAACCCCCAGCCAUGCUGAGCGUGUGAUGACACCGCUGUGUCUUUAAUUUGGCAGCUUUAAGCCUAAUGCUUUCACUCCACUUGGAAUAAUUUCCCACCUGCAAGUACCAGGGGCACGGCAGGGCAAGAGGACAAUUAAAAGGCAAUUUCUGCCAAGAGUCCCCUCUCCUUCACUGGGUGAUGUGCCUCAGCAGCAGCAGACCCCACAUUCCUCCACAGCAGCUGACAAAGGGCUGAGCAAGUUGGACCCAGGAUGCAAAGCAUUGGGCUGCUGGUGCCAUAGGUGAGGAAGAGGAGGAGCUCUCCAGCUUUGGG